GUGCUUGCUCAGCAGCACAUAUACUAUAAUUGGAAUGAUACAGAGUCUAGCAUGGCCCCCUGUAAAGGGAUGACACUCAAAUUUGUGAAGCCUUCCAUAUCUUA